rnacentral:rRNA from 1 species
UACGGAGGAUGCGAGCGUUAUCCGGAUUUAUUGGGUUUAAAGGGUGCGCAGGCGGCGUGUCAAGUCAGCGGUAAAAUGUCGGGGCUCAACCCCGGCCGGCCGUUGAAACUGGCGUGCUUGAGUUGGAGAGAAGUAUGCGGAAUUCGUGGUGUAGCGGUGAAAUGCAUAGAUAUCACGAAGAACCCCGAUUGCGAAGGCAGCAUACCGGCUCCACACUGACGCUGAGGCACGAAAGCGUGGGUAUCGAACAGG